UGGCAACAAAAACCCAACGUCUCCUAGAUGUCAUAAUUGUAACGUCCACCCAACGUCAAAUUCUGACAUCAUUAGAUGUUGAUCUUUUGUUAGUUUCAGGUUGUGGCAUUAACUAACUAAAAUCCAACGUCAAGCCAGCGUCUGAAGUCAACGUCAUAUUGAUGUCAAAUACUGACAUUUAGUCGUCAGGUAUGGCAACAAAAACCCAACGUCUCCUAGAUGUCAUAAUUGUAACGUCCACCCAACGUCAAAUUCUGACAUCAUUAGAUGUUGAUCUUUUGUUAGUUUUAGGUUGUGGCAUUAACUAACCAACAUCCAACGUCGAGCCAACGUCUCAAGCCAACGUCAUAUUGAUGUCAAAUACUGACAUUUAGUCGUCAGGUAUGGCAACCAAAACCCAACGUCUCCUAGAUGUCAUAAUUGUAACGUCCACCCAACGUCAAAUUCUGACAUCAUUAGACGUUGACCUUUUGUUAGUUUUAGGUUGUGGCAUUAACUAACCAACAUCCAACGUCGAGCCAAUGU